rnacentral:rRNA from 1 species
CAGCCGUAAACUAUGCGCGUUAGGUGUACUGGUGACCACGAGUCACCGGGGUGCCGAAGGGAAACCGUGAAACGUGCCGCCUGGGAAGUACGGUCGCAAGGCUGAAACUUAAAGGAAUUGGCGGGGGAGCACCGACAACGGGUGGAGCCUGCGGUUUAAUUGGACUCAACGCCGGAAAUCUCACCGGAUAGGACAGACAUAUGAUAGUCGGGCUGAAGACUCUACUUGAUGAUCUGAGAGGAGGUGCAUGGCGUCAGUGACU